UACGUAGGUGGCAAGCGUUAUCCGGAUUUACUGGGUGUAAAGGGCGUGUAGGCGGGAAAGCAAGUCAGAUGUGAAAACCAUGGGCUCAACCCAUGGCCUGCAUUUGAAACUGUUUUUCUUGAGUACUGGAGAGGCAGACGGAAUUUCUAGUGUAGCGGUUAAAUGCGUAGAUAUUAGAAGGAACACCAGUGGCGAAGGCGGCCUGCUGGACAUUAACUGACGCUGAGGCGCGAAAGCGUGGGGAGCAA
rnacentral:rRNA from 1 species